rnacentral:rRNA from 1 species
AACGAACGCUGGCGGCAAGCCUAACACAUGCAAGUCGAACGGAUAGCUACCCAUAGCUUUUUUAGCUAUAGGUUCGCUAUUAGUGGCAGACGGGUGAGUAAUGCAUAGGAAUCUACCUAGUAGUAUGGAAUAGCCAUUAGAAAUGAUGGGUAAUACUGUAUAAUCCCUGCGGGGGAAAGAUUUAUCGCUAUUAGAUGAGCCUAUGUUAGAUUAGUUAGUUGGUAAGGUAAUGGCUUACCAAGACUAUGAUCUAUAGCUGGUCUGAGAGGACGAUCAGCCACACUGGAACUGAGAUACGGUCCAGACUCCUACGGGAGGCAGCAGUGGGGAAUAUUGGACAAUGGGCGAAAGCCUGAUCCAGCUAUGCCGCGUGAGUGAAGAAGGCCUUCGGGUUGUAAAGCUCUUUCAAUAGGGAAGAUAAUGACGGUACCUAUAGAAGAAGUCCCGGCAAACUCCGUGCCAGCAGCCGCGGUAAUACGGAGGGGGCAAGCGUUGUUCGGAAUUAUUGGGCGUAAAGGGCACGUAGGUGGACUAGUAAGUUAAAAGUGAAAUACCAAAGCUUAACUUUGGAGCGGCUUUUAAUACUGCUAGACUAGAGGUCGAAAGAGGAUAGCGGAAUUCCUAGUGUAGAGGUGAAAUUCGUAGAUAUUAGGAGGAACACCAGUGGCGAAAGCGGCUGUCUGGUUCGAUACUGACACUGAGGUGCGAAAACGUGGGGAGCAAACAGGAUUAGAUACCCUGGUAGUCCAC